GUGUGUGUGUGUGUGUAGAUGAAUAUGAAGACUGUAAGGAGUGUGUGUGUGUGUGUGUGUGUAGAUGAAUAUGAAGACUGUAAGGUGUGUGUGUGUGUGUGUGUAGAUGAAUAUGAAGACUGUAAGGUGUGUGUGUGUGUGUGUAAAUGAAUAUGAAGACUGUAAGGUGUGUGUGUGUGUGUGUGUGUGUGUGUAGAUGGAUAUGAAGACUGUAAGAAGUGUUUGUGUGUGUGUGUGUGUGUGUGUAGAUGAAUAUGAAGACUGUAAGGAGUGUGUGUGUGUGUGUGUAGAUGGAUAUGAAGACUGUAAGGUGUGUGUGUGUGUAGAUGAAUAUGAAGACUGUAAGGAUUGUGUGUGUGUGUGUGUAGAUAAAUAUGAAGACUGUAAGAAUUGUGUGUGUGUGUGUGUGUGUGUGUAGAUGAAUAUGAAGACUGUAAGGUGUGUGUGUGUGUGUGUGUCUGUGUAGAUGAAUAUGAAGACUGUAAGGUGUGUGUGUGUGUAGAUGAAUAUGAAGACUGUAAGGUGUGUGUGUGUGUGUGUGUGUGUGUAGAUGAAUAUGAAGACUGUAAGGUGUGUGUGUGUGUGUGUGUUUGUGUGU
ensembl:lncRNA